GGGCCUGUAGCCUAGCCUGGAUACCUGUAAAUUCCUAAAUUUAAUGGGUUUACACGUAAUGCAAAUAGGGCGACAGCCUUCUAAGCUGAGAUAAUGAGUGUGUAACUUAAUUCGUGCUUAUUAUCGCUGAAUAGGUCGUGGGUUCAAAUCCCAUCAGGCCCG
rnacentral:tRNA from 1 species